CAAUAGCGUAUACUAACGUUGUUGCAGUUAAAAAGCUCGUAGUUGGAUUUCUGUAUUGGUUAGCCGGCCGGCGCAUUCGCGUUGCAGCUUGGUUUAAUCGAUGCAUCUUGUCACAAUAGACACUGGCAUUCAUUUGUUGGUGUUCUGGACUGACUCGUUUACUUUGAGGAAAUUAGAGUGUUCACGGCAGGCGUUAGUCUUGAAUACAUUAGCAUGGAAUAAUAAUAUAGGACCUUGGUACUAUUUUGUUGGUUUCUAGAACUAAGGUAAUGAUUAAUAGGGAUAAUUGGGGGGCAUUCGUAUUAACGCGUCAGAGGUGGAAUUCUUGGAUUGCGUUACGACGAACUACUGCGAAAGCAUUUGCCAAGGAUGUUUUCAUUGAUCAAGAACGAAAGUUAGGGGAUCGAAGACGAUCAGAU
rnacentral:rRNA from 1 species